rnacentral:misc_RNA from 1 species
UCGCUGCUUGCGCAGGCAGUCUCGCUAGAGUCCCCGGCAUAACCCGCUGGUAACUAACGAUAGGGGUUGCGUUCGUUGCGGGACUUAACCCAACAUCUCACGACACGAACUGACGACAGCCAUGCAGCACCUGUAUACCGACCACAAGGGGGGCCGUAUCUCUACGGCUUUCCGGUAUAUGUCAAACCCAGGUAAGGUUCUUCGCGUUGCAUCGAAUUAAGCCACAUGCUCCGCCGCUUGUGCGGGCCCCCGUCAAUUCCUUUGAGUUUUAGUCUUGCGACCGUACUCCCCAGGCGGCAAACUUAACGGCUUCCCUGCGGCACUGAGUUGGCAAUAAGCCAACUCAUCACCGAGUCUGCAUCGUUUACAGCUGGGACUAC